rnacentral:lncRNA from 10 species
UACCAGGAGUCCUGUGUGAUUCUCUACAUUUUAGAUGUCUUGUAAGAGCGUCAUGUAGCUGGACUUAUACAGCAAGUAGCCUCUUCAGAUUGGCUUCUUUAACUUAGUAAUAUUCAUGUAACAUUGCUCCAUGUGUUUUCGUGGCUUAAUAGGUCAUUCCUUUUCAUUACUGAUCAUUUUAUUCUGUGCAUGUACCACAAUUUGUUCGUCUACUACUGAAUGAUGUCUUGAUUGUUUCGGUUGUUGGUGAUUAUGAAUAAACUUGCUAUAAACAUUUAC